rnacentral:miRNA from 1 species
CGGCAGUGUAGUUAGCUGGUUG